CCAAUAGCGUAUAUUAAAGUUGCUGCAGUUAAAAAGCUCGUAGUUGAAUUUCGGGACCAUCAUGUCGGUCGUGCCUCGGUACGUACUGGUAUUGUAGGUUUCUCCCUUCUGACGAACCAUGAUGUCAUUUAUUUGGUGUUGUGGGAAAUCAGGACUGUUACUUUGAAAGAAUUAGAGUGUUUAAAGCAGGCUCACGCUUGAAUACAUUAGCAUGGAAUAAUGAAAUAGGACGUUUGAUUCUAUUUUGUUGGUUUCUAGGAUCGACGUAAUGAUUAAUAGGGAUAGUUGGGGGCAUUAGUAGUCAAUUGUCAGAGGUGAAAUUCUUGGAUUUAUUGAAGACUAACUACUGCGAAAGCAUUUGCCAAGGAUGUUUUCAUUAAUCAAGAACGAAAGUUAGGGGAUCGAAGACGAUCAGAUACCGUCGUAGUCUUAACCAUAAACUAUGCCGACUAGGGAUCGGAUGAUGUUAAUUUUUUAAUGACUCAUUCGGCGCCUUACG
rnacentral:rRNA from 1 species